rnacentral:rRNA from 1 species
UACGGAGGGUGCAAGCGUUUGUUCGGAAUCAUUGGGCGUAAAGCGCGUGUAGGCGGCUUGGCAAGUCGGUUGUGAAAGCCCGGGGCUCAACCUGGGAAUUGCGAUGAAGACUGCAAGGCUAGAAUCUGGCAGAGGGGGGGUAGAAUUCCACGUGUAGCAGUGAAAUGCGUAGAGAUGUGGAGGAACACCGAUGGCGAAGGCAGCCCCCUGGGUCAAGAUUGACGCUCAUGCACGAAAGCGUGGGGAGCAAACAGG